AACAGGAUUAGAUACCCUGGUAGUCCACGCCCUAAACGAUGUCAACUGGUUGUUGGGAGGGUUUCUUCUCAGUAACGUAGCUAACGCGUGAAGUUGACCGCCUGGGGAGUACGGCCGCAAGGUUGAAACUCAAAGGAAUUGACGGGGACCCGCACAAGCGGUGGAUGAUGUGGUUUAAUUCGAUGCAACGCGAAAAACCUUACCUACCCUUGACAUGCCAGGAAUCUUGCAGAGAUGUGAGAGUGCUCGAAAGAGAACCUGGACACAGGUGCUGCAUGGCCGUCGUCAGCUCGUGUCGUGAGAUGUUGGGUUAAGUCCCGCAACGAGCGCAACCCUUGUCAUUAGUUGCUACGAAAGGGCACUCUAAUGAGACUGCCGGUGACAAACCGGAGGAAGGUGGGGAUGACGUCAGGUCAUCAUGGCCCUUAUGGGUAGGGCUACACACGUCAUACAAUGGCCGGGACAGAGGGCUGCCAACCCGCGAGGGGGAGCUAAUCCCAGAAACCCGGUCGUAGUCCGGAUCGCAGUCUGCAACUCGACUGCGUGAAGUCGGAAUCGCUAGUAAUCGCGGAUCAGCUUGCCGCGGUGAAUACGUUCCCGGGUCUUGUACACACCGCCCGUCACACCAUGGGAGCGGGUUCUGCCAGAAGUAGUUAGCCUGACCGCAAGGAGGGCGAUUACCACGGCAGGGUUCGUGACUGGGGUGAAGUCGUAACAAGGUAACC
rnacentral:rRNA from 1 species